CGACCGCUGGCGGCAUGCCUAACACAUGCAAGUCGAACGAGACCUUCGGGUCUAGUGGCGCCCGGGUGCGUAACGCGUGGGAACCUGCCCUUAGGUUCGGAAUAACUCCCCGAAAGGGGUGCUAAUACCGGAUAAUGUCUUCGGACCAAAGAUUUAUCGCCUUUGGAUGGGCCCGCGUUGGAUUAGCUAGUUGGUAGGGUAAAAGCCUACCAAGGCGACGAUCCAUAGCUGGUCUGAGAGGAUGAUCAGCCACACUGGGACUGAGACACGGCCCAGACUCCUACGGGAGGCAGCAGUGGGGAAUAUUGGACAAUGGGCGAAAGCCUGAUCCAGCAAUGCCGCGUGAGUGAUGAAGGCCUUAGGGUUGUAAAGCUCUUUUACCCGGGAUGAUAAUGACAGUACCGGGAGAAUAAGCGCCGGCUAACUCCGUG
rnacentral:rRNA from 1 species